CCGCUUUUCUGAAGUAAAUCAUAGUUUGAGAUAGCUAUUCUACAAACACUAUUCCACCAUGAAAUACAUCGUAAUCUUCGUUUUGUGCUUUGUGGCGCUGGCCGCUGCCAACCCACAGCUUCUCACGUGGCCCGGCAUCGUGGCUCCUCUGGGCUCUAGAACCAUUGUUGCCGGUCCUACUGUGGUCAAUGAUGGACUUUGGGGUGGCCGCGUCCUUUCUCCCGGAGUUAUUGCUGCAGGAUUGGUGUAAACAGACGACAAGCAGCCCGACAGAAGAACAAUGAGCAAUCGAUUCCUACAUAUUAUGAAAUAAAAUAAAGACCUUUGAGUAAAAAA